GGCAGUAUGGCCGAGUGGUUAAGGCGUCAGACUUGUAAGUCCAGAUGCUUUUUCCUGAUAUGAACAUAUUCUCACGCGAUCUUGCAGAAGAUCAAAUCUCCCUGAUCCUG